rnacentral:lncRNA from 1 species
UGAAACUUGAAAGAGAAAGAGAUAAGGGUAAUAUCGGAAGUAAAAAGAAAUAGAUAAAGGUAAAGAGAAAAAGGGGACAGAGGUUGCUUGCGCAAAUCUAGCUAAUCUGGGCCUCUUUUGCAAGGAAAGUAUACGAGUGAAACCGGGCGUUUAAGGGGCAAAAGAAAUUGAACCCGUACAAAAACAAACAAACACACCAUUUUCUCUCAUUCCCACAUUUUCACUUCGGCCUCAUUAUGUUUACUGUUUAGAGUUUAGACAACAUACAUUCACUGUAACCCUGUAGAUAUACACACACACCCAAACCCCUUCUUCUUCUGUUCUUCAUCCUCUUCCUCACUUUCUUUCACUUUUCCUUCUUUUUUAUUAUUUUCAUUUCACAGAUAAAACAAACAAAAACCCACUUCAAAAACAAGAAAUAAUCCCAUUCCCAUUUGUUUUCUUUCAUUUCAUUUUACCAUUUCACCAUUUUGCACCUACUCACCGAUUCUUCUUCGCUUCUUCUUUUUUGGUUAUAUGAUGAUAGGGUUAUGGCGGUUGUGUUGUUGGUGCCGCCGGUGGCUGUGCUGGUGGAAGAUGGUGGAAGCUGAUAUCACGUGGGACACUGAAGCAUGUUUUGUCUUUUUCUUGUUAAAGAAAAUGGGUAUUUUGGGGUCACAUGAAAGCUUAGCCGGAUAUUCAAGAAAACCCAUUUAUGUUCUCCAAUAAUUGGUGGCGGUGGGUGGUGGUUGGCGGUGGUGAUAUUGGCUGGACGGCUCAAUCUUUUUAAUUCUUGUUAUGAUAUAUAUAUAUAGGAAUUAAGCAAUUAAAUCUUUUUUUGUUUUUUUGGGUUCUUGUUAUCAGUUUUGGUUACUAAUACUAGCUGAUAAUGCUUAUAAGAUCUUGAAUUUCCUGGAAGUGAUUACACUAAUUAAUCUUGAUUCUUGAAGCAAAACCAACAAUGAUCCAUUUUGAGAGAGAAAGGUAGUAAAUGUGAUUGCACCUCGCAGAGCAGCAAAGGGCAAAGGGUUGGUGGGCAACAGCCUUUAAUUUUUUGGGGUCCCCUGUAGAAAAAGGGAUUGCAGACUUCAAUGUUUCAACACUACUGUUUUAUUAUCGAUUCAAAAUCACUGUCAGUAGUCUUUUGCUUCUGUCCCCUUUAUUAAUUAAUUCAUUGUUACUAUUAUUCUUGGAAAAUGUGGAGCUUAAUAUUUAUUUAUAUUUAAAUCCUCUAGUAAUUGUCAUGUCAUCUUCAUCAAUGUAUGUACUGUUUUUUUUUACUUCAAGAAAAUAUAAUCAGUAAAAGUUAUACUUUAUUGGAU